ensembl:snRNA U1 U1 spliceosomal RNA
CUGCUUACCUGGAGGUACCAUGAUCAUGCAGGUGGUUUUCCUAGGGCAAGGCUUAUCCAUUGCACUCUGGUUGUGCUGACCCCUGUGAUCUCCCCAAAUGUGGAAAACUCGGCUACAUAAUUUGCGGUAGUGGGGGACUGUGUUCACGCUUUCCCCUA